rnacentral:rRNA from 1 species
GAUGAACGCUGGCGGCGUGCCUAAUACAUGCAAGUCGAGCGAAUGGAUUAAGAGCUUGCUCUUAUGAAGUUAGCGGCGGACGGGUGAGUAACACGUGGGUAACCUGCCCAUAAGACUGGGAUAACUCCGGGAAACCGGGGCUAAUACCGGAUAACAUUUUGAACCGCAUGGUUCGAAAUUGAAAGGCGGCUUCGGCUGUAACUUAUGGAUGGACCCGCGUCGCAUUAGCUAGUUGGUGAGGUAACGGCUCACCAAGGCAACGAUGCGUAGCCGACCUGAGAGGGUGAUCGGCCACACUGGGACUGAGACACGGCCCAGACUCCUACGGGAGGUAGCAGUAGGGAAUCUUCCGCAAUGGACGAAAGUCUGACGGAGCAACUCCGCGUGAGUGAUGAAGGCUUUCGGGUCGUAAAACUCUGUUGUUAGGGAAGAACAAGUGCUAGUUGAAUAAGCUGGCACCUUGACGGUACCUAACCAGAAAGCCACGGCUAACUACGUGCCAGCCGCCGCGGUAA